GUGGGGAAUAUUGGGCAAUGGGCGAAAGCCUGACCCAGCAACGCCGCGUGAAGGAAGAAGGUUUUCGGAUCGUAAACUUCUAUCCUUGGUGAAGAUAAUGACGGUAGCCAAGAAGGAAGCCCCGGCUAACUACGUGCCAGCAGCCGCGGUAAUACGUAGGGGGCAAGCGUUGUCCGGAAUGAUUGGGCGUAAAGGGCGCGUAGGCGGCCCGGUAAGUCUGAAGGGAAAGUCCUGCUUUUAAGGUGGGAAUUGCUUUGGAUACUGUCGGGCUUGAGUGCAGGAGAGGUAAGCGGAAUUCCCGGUGUAGCGGUGAAAUGCGUAGAGAUCGGGAGGAACACCAGUGGCGAAGGCGGCUUACUGGACUGUAACUGACGCUGAGGCGCGAAAGUGUGGGGAGCAAACAGGAUUAGAAACCCCGGUAGUCC
rnacentral:rRNA from 1 species